ACAAACGAAGCUUUUUGCUUCACAACAGUCAAAACCUUGUGACUUAUCAAAACACUCUGCAAGAGCUGCUCAAACUCAGCAAAUAAACCAGGGGAGACGUGGCCAAGCUUCUGGCAACAAGUUGGACAUAACACCUGUCCAAAAUGCUGACUAAGGGAUACAAAACUGCUGGCUAAGCAACUCAGCUUCGGCUGCCGGAUCGCAUGCAAAACCAUGCAACAUUCGGGGGCCGAACCUGAAUUCGGAAGCCGAAUAUUGGGCACUUUCGGCGGCCGAACUUGGCUCCUCUGCCUUGGUCCAUUUCAACUCAAAACUUGGUUCCAUCUACCUGUAACACAAUAAAUCACACAACAUUUCUUGAGAAACUCAUAUCUCCUACCCUCUAAAGGCUUCCGACAUCCCGGAGUCCACCGGACGACAAGACUUCCGGUGUCGGACUCUAGCCGGGUAUUACACUAUCUACAUCCCAUUUAUGAGGGCUUCAUAUUCUGCCAUAUUAUUGGAUGCAGGAAAUCCAAAGUGCAAAGCAUAUCACACCCUGAAUCCAUCUGGCCCUUUCAAAAGUAUCCUUGCCCCGCUACCAGCGGGGCUGGAUGUCCCAUCUGCGAAUAGAUUCCACAUGAACUCACGUGGCUGUUGAUCCCCUUCCUUCUCUUUUGCUGCACUCGGUGGCCUUUCACUCUGUUCCUCUUUGUUCGAGCUGAAAGAGCACUAAGCUAUGAAGUCAGCUAAGGCUUGGGCUUUGAUGGCUGUCAGAGGCCAGUAAAUGAUGCAGUAUGGGCUAAUUUCUAUGAACUAGGCUAGCAUCCGUCCCGAGGUCUCAGGUCUGUGCAAGAUUUUCUUCAAAAGCUGGUCAGUCAUCACUAUCCCUUAGUGGCAUUUCAGAUACACUCUGAACUUUCUUACUGCCAGCAACAAGGUGAAUCCUAGCUUUUCAAUAUUCAGGUACCUGACCUUGGCAUCCUUGAGCACCUUGCUCACAUAGAAGAUAGGAUUAUGCACCCCAGCUUCAUCCCUUACCAACACAGUGCUUAUAGCUUGUUUAGAGGCAGCUAAGUAUAUCAGAAAUUUCUCUCUAGCUAAAGGACUACUAAGAACAUGUAGAGAACUGAGGUAUUACUUGAGGUUUUUAAAGGCUUCUUGGCAAUCCUUUGUCCACUCAAAGUUUGAAACUUUCCUAAGCUUUUUGGAGAACGAUAAACAUCUUUCUGCCGAUUUUGACAUGAACUGGUUGAGCGUCGCCACUCUUCCUAUAAGUUUCUGCACGUCUCUCACGCUGGUAGGUUCAAGCAUUCUUAGUAUGGCCUCUACCUUUUUCGGAUUCGGCUCUAUACUCUUUCCGCUGACCAUGUAGCCUAGGAACUUCCCUCCUCUGAUAAAGAAAGCACACUUCACUGGGUUUAACCUCAUCUUGUAUCAUUGUAGCGCUCCGAAUACCUCUUCUAGGUCGGCUAGGUAUUGCUUAAAGGUUUGGCUUUUUACCAUCAUGUCAUCAACGUAGACUUCCACGUUCCUUCCUAUCUGAUCCUUAAAGAUCUUAUUCAUCAACCAUUGAUAUGUCACCCCUGCAUUUUUCAGCCCGAAGGGCAUGGCCUUGCAACAGUAUGUCCCAUCUUUGGUUAUAAAAGAGGUCUUUUCUUCAUCCGACCUGUCCAUGGGAAUCUGGUGCCCUGACGUUACAUCAAGGGAUGACAUGUAAUCAAAAGCGGCCAUAGAAUCGACCAUUUUAUUAAUAUGAGGGAAGGGAAUAACAAUCUUUUGGGCAUGCCUGAUUAAGGUCAAUAAAGUCUAUACACAUUCUAUAUUUCCCAUUGGCCUUUUUUACUAGUACGGAGUUGGCUAACCACUACGGGUACAUGACUUCCCUAAUAAAUUCUGUAACGACCCGAAAAUCGGACCGCUAUCGGCGCUAGGAUCCUGAUCGACUUAAGGUCACCGGGACCCGUUGCAAGCCUAACAUACAUCCUGUAUACCUGUCAAAUCCCAUACAUGAUCAUACAAUUUCAUUUACCAAGCUUAACCUGUGCAUGCACAAACUCAUAACCAUAAAACCUCACACUGGAGCCCUCAUCAAAUGCUCCAAUGGGGUGACAUAUCAUACAUUAAGCUUGGUUUACAUAAACAUGAUUAAAAUAUUUCAUUGAAAAGAUCAUGUACCUAAAAAAAAAAAAAGGGAUUAACAUACACUAGGGCCAAGCACAAUUCUAUCCUCAAUACAAUUCUUUACAUUACAUCACAUUAUAACAUUUUACAAUACAUGUCCACAUCUAACUAUUACAUAAAACAUAACUUCUUUACUCUUGCUGACUUCCUGGUCUAUCCCGUACCUGCAAACCUGGGGGUUAAGGGAAUGGGAUGAGCUACUAGAGCCCAGUGAGCAGAAUAGUAAAACAUUAUAUUUAAAAUUCAUGCUUUCAUGAAAUGCAUCACAUCACAAACAAAUCACCUUAAGGAUGAACUUGUCACCAAUAGCCCUCUACAUAUCCAAUAGUGCCAGAACGUAGAAUGGGUCCUGGUCUUUCUCUUACAUAACAUAUCAUAAUAUUCCAAUGUGCCAGGGACGUAGAAUGGGUCUUCCUGGACUUCCGUACUAUGUCAUCAUCAUAUCAUAUCAUACCAUACGAGGGCUAAUGGAUCACUUAAUGUUCAUCCACAUCAACAACAUAAUAUGCAAUGCAACAUAUUCGUGAAUUUUAAUGCAAACAACCUAAUAUAUCUCAUGGAAUUCAUGAUGCGUGAAUCAUGCUAAAACUUUCAUUAUUUGCUUUGAAACAUAAAGAGUGAUUCUACUCACCUCAGGCUAACUCUGAAAAGACACUGAAGCAGCUAACUCACUGCUGGGGUCCUCGGUUCUUUGGGUCUGAACCUACACAGGUGGACUCCAAUGAGGGACCAAACAUACAUGAACAUGACUCUAAACAACUCCCCAAAAACCCCCCUAAAGCACCUUAAAACAAUCAUAGAAAACAUGCAAAGGAAGGCUGAACAGGGCACUUUCGGCGGCAGGUUCGGCGGCCGAAAGUACCUCCAGAGCCGAAACUCAGCCACUUUUGGCGGCACCUUCGACGGCCGAAAGUCCCUUCCAGAGACGAAACUCAUGCAUGUUCGGUGGCACCUUCGGCGGCCGAAACUCCUCUCCAGAGCCGAAAGUCCAACUUUCGGGGGCAGGGUUCGGCAGCCAAAGGCUUGCCUCCACAGGCAAGUUCGGCGGCCGAAAGUCCUUCGGUUGCCGAACCUGAGUUCUUCCAAAGUGGUAGAACUCAGCCUCCUCAUGCACAUUUUGCCUCCCAAACCAUUCAAACAUGCAUUUAGCUAUUCUAUAACAUGCAUACACACAUACAUAAGCAUAUAGGGGUCUCAAACUAACCUAAACCCCAACACAAACACAAAGCAUAUACACAUACAACAUACAUUAUCCAUAAACUCAACAUUAACCCUAACAAAAAUCAACUAACCUAAACAUGCAUUUCUACCCCAUAACCUCUCAUAAAACUUGCUCAAAACAUGGAAUAAGCUAAAGAUCUACCCUUACCUCUUGAAGAUCGAGAGGGGAGGCGACCUACACUUGGAGAAAUGGAGAAAGAGAGCUUCGGGGCCUCCAAGCUUCAAAUCUUGAUCUUAGCUCCAAAAACUUCAAAAACCAAGUUAAAACUCGUUAAAACUUGAAAGAUUUGAGAAAAAUCAUCAAAACCAACCAUGGGAGGGCAUGAACUCACCAUUGACCGAAAAUAGGGGAGAAAGCUCGCCCAUUUUCGGCCGUGGGGCCUUUUAUAGGUGGCUGGCCAGACCACCUUUGGAAGCCAAAGGUGACUCCAAAACUCUACCAUGUUCGGCGGUCGAACCUGGAUUUUCCUCAAUGGUCAUUUUCAUUCAAAACUCAAUUUCUUUCUUACUUAAAACUAUAAAAUACAUGAAAACAUUUUUGUAACGACCCGAAAAUCGGACCGCUACCGGCGCUAGGAUCCAGAUCGGCAUAAGGCUGCCGGGACCCGUAGCAAGCCAAACAUUCAUCCUGUGAACCUGUUUAAUCCCAUACAUGAUCAACAACAUACAUAAAAAAUUUGAACUUUUCUUUCCAUUCAAUCACCAAACUCAACCUGUGCAUGCACUAUACAUAGACAUAACCAUCAACCCACACUGGAGUCCUCAACAAUGCUCCAAUGGGGUAAUAUAACAUACAUUGAGUUUGGUUCAACAUAAACAUCUAUUAAAAACAUUACAUUUAAAAGAUCAUGUAAACAAAGGGGAUUAACAUACAACUAGGGUCAAGCACAUCUCUAAUCCUUAAUAUCAUCAUUACAUUACAUAACUGUACUAAACAUCAUAUAUCAAUAUUUCUCAUGUCCACACUAGCUAUUACAUGACCAUAACUUCAUUACUCUUGCUGACCUCCUGGUCUACCCUGUACCUGCAAAUAUGGGAGUUAAGGGAGAGGGGUGAGCUACUAGAGUCCAGUGAGCAGAAUAAUAAAACAUUUAUAUUAAAGGUUCAUGCUUUCAUGGAAUGCAUCACAUCACAACUAAUCAUAUCAAGGAUGAACUUGUCACCACUUAGCCCUCUACAUAUUCCAAUCAUGCCAGGGGCGUAGUGCAGGCCACACCUGGUCUUUCUCUUAUACAUAACAUAUCAUACAUGACCAACUGUGCCGGGGGCGUAGUGCAGGCCACACCUGGACUUCCAUAUCUUAUCAUCAUGUCAUAGCAUAUGAGGGCUAAUAGAUCAUUCAACAUUCAUCCACAUUAACAACAUAUUAUGCAAUGCAACAUAUUCGUGAAUUCUAAUGCAAACACCCUAAUAUAUCUCAUGGCAUUCAUGAUGCGUGAAUCAUGCUAAACCUUCAUUUAAUUUCUCAAUUUAAAACAUUAAGUUUUAGUUCCACUCACCUCUAGCUGAAGCUCUACUGACUCUGAAGCAGCUAUCUCACUGCUGAGGUCCUCGAUUCCUCGGGUCCGAACCUACACAGGUGGACUCAAAUGAGGGACCAAGCAUCUAUGAUCAUGACUCUAAAAUACUCCCCAAAAGCCCCCUCAAACACCUUAAAACAUCCAUAGAAAACAUGCAAAGGAGGGCUGGACAGGGCACUUUCGGCGGCAGGUUCGGCGGCCGAAAGGCCCUUCAGAGCCGAAAGUCAUGCACCUUCGGCGGCACUUUCGGCGGCCGAAAGUUCCCUCCAUAGACGAAACUCAUGCAUGUUCGGCGGCACCUUUGGCAGCCGAAAAUCCCUUCCAGAGCCGAAAGUCAUCUUUCGGGGUCAGGGUUCGGCAGCCGAUUCAUGCUACCACAGGCAGGUUCGGCGGCCGAAAGAACCUUCGGCUGCCGAA
rnacentral:lncRNA from 1 species